CGGGCCCAAUGGCUAAUCAGUCCUGGUGAAGAAGCAUGUACGUCUUAGUAUCGUGAACUCUGCCGGUUUCUAACAAGCCUGGUAGAACACGACUUUUCUUCGGGUGUUUGGGAGGCAGCACUCCCUUGGGGCUUGAUCUUCAGAGCUUCUGAAGCUACUGCCUUGUUCACUCCAGAGAACACAGAGAGACAAGAUGGAGGCUCUUUAGCCAAGCCAGUCAUGAGCAUCUCUCAUUUGUUCAACAAUAGUUCAAGCUCCCGCUCCAUCUGAAUUCAACUGUGUGGAGAACAAUGGAGUAGGGCUUUCUAGGCAAACCAUUAACAUUCCCAAGAUGAGGAUCAGUGAAAUGGGAGCUUCAAGCCUCUAAAUGACAGGUAAAGGCUGACUCAGAGAGUAAAGCUUAGAAGGCAGAAAAGAGAGCCGUGAGGACAGCACUUCACUAGUCCCUGCCUGCUCCAGAGAGAUGGAAACGGAGGAGGAACUAGCUGGCCAUGUCUCUCCAGUUCAGUUUCCUCAGAUGAGGAGCGGGACACAAGGACUUGUGUGCAGAAAUACAUUCAACUGGCCAUAAGUUCAACAAAGAGGAGGAUAACAUGAAUCAUUCACAAGCUGGACAAAAAUUUAAAUGGGCACGCCCCCACCCCAGACCGAAUGAAUAUCUCAUUGGAUGCUGAAGUUGGGUGACUUGUUUCAUCUCUCUCUCUCUCUCUCUCUCUCUCUCUCUCUCUCUCUCUCUCUCUCUCUCUCUCUUCUCUCUCUCUCUCUCUGUCUCUCUCUCUGUGUGUGUGUGUGUUUGUAUUCUUCAUGACCUAAUAAACAGUGCUGCAUUUUAUUUACUAGACCAUAUGCUUCCUUAAGGUGGAAGUGUGAUUUUCUUCCCUUGGCACUUACAACAAAUUGCACACA